GGAUUACAAGGCCUUAGAUAUGUUAACGUGGGAAUUUAGAAAGCGGGAACAUCAAUUUUCACAUCAAGGAAAACAGGAUUUUUCCCCUAGCUAACGCCCAAAGCUAAUUUAAGGGGGACAACCUAAAGAAAUAACUCUAAGAUAAGCCAUCCCAACUGCCGUAGGGAGCUCUUCCCCAUAUUGGCGCCCUGCAGGCGGCCCGCGAAAUCACCUAGUGAUUCUUGGUCCAUUUAGAGGAAGGUAAAAGGUCGUAACAAAGGUUUUCCGUAGGUGAACCUGCGGAAGGAUCAUUACCCGUUUGUCUUUCGACAAAACCACUGUGAAUUUGUACUGAGCCGGUGGGGUAACGUUCUACGUUUUAAAUGACUCAGGUCGGCCCCACUUGUGCAACCAAGUAUGUUGUUCUUUCAACACACUGUAUAGCCUGUAUUACUUUAUGCUACGGUAUGAAGUGAAAACGAAACGUGACAACUUCUAACGGUGGAUCUCUUGGCUCGUGCAUCGAUGAAGAACGUAGCCAGUUGCGAUAAGUAGUGUGAAUUGCAGAAUUCAGUGAAUCAUCGAAUCUUUGAACGCAAAUUGCGCUCUCUGGAUAUCCAGGGAGCAUGCCUGUCUGAGCGUCGUUUAACAAUCUACACACAAUUUGUGUGGAAAGAUCAUUCAUGCUUCAAUGUGUGUCGAUCUAUGGAUUUGAACCGUGUGGUACUCCUUUGUGUACUGCUUGGAAGGCUCAACUUGCUUCUGUCCUUCUCUGCAGUGUCAUGAUGUGUGUAUAACGUGUUCUCUUUCGACCUAGUCGAAAAUUCUUACUUUUGACCUCAGAUCAGACAAGACUACCCGCUGAAUUUAAGCAUAUCAAUAAGCGGAGGAA
rnacentral:rRNA from 1 species